rnacentral:rRNA from 1 species
GACGAACGCUGGCGGCGUGCUUAACACAUGCAAGUCGAACGCGCCUGUCCUCUGGGUUUCUGGGGGGUGGGUGAGUGGCGAACGGGUGAGUAACACGUGAGUAACCUGCCCCCUUCUUCGGGAUAACGGUCUGAAAGGGCUGCUAAUACCGGGUAUUCACUGGUCUCCGCAUGGGGUCUGGUGGAAAGGUUUUUUUCUGGUGGGGGAUGGGCUCGCGGCCUAUCAGCUUGUUGGUGGGGUGAUGGCCCACCAAGGCUUUGACGGGUAGCCGGCCUGAGAGGGUGACCGGUCACAUUGGGACUGAGAUACGGCCCAGACUCCUACGGGAGGCAGCAGUGGGGAAUAUUGCACAAUGGGCGCAAGCCUGGUGCAGCGACGCCGCGUGAGGGAUGGAGGCCUUCGGGUUGUGAACCUCUUUCGCCCGUGGUCAAGCCGCGACGUGGGUCGUGGUGAGGGUAGUGGGUAAAGAAGCGCCGGCUAACUACGUG